GACCAAAGACUUUCUGAACUCAGACUUGCGAAUCACAUAAAACUUCUCCUUUUCUACCAAAGUCAAUAGAUUCCAUCUAGUUGAAUCUUACUCCAAACAGCGAACCUGAACCUACUGAAGCCAACAUAUACAGCAAGGAUCCAAAUGGCUAGGGACCAAGGGAACGUGCAGUCAAAUCUAGUAGUCUCAUUGUGAAUAGCCAAUGACAUCAUAGGUUAAAGGACCACUCAAACCAU
rnacentral:lncRNA from 1 species